CGGAUUCUGGGCGUAAGCGCACGCAGGCGGUCUGUCAAGUCGGAUGUGAAAUCCCCGGGCUCAACCUGGGAACUGCAUUCGAAACUGGCAGGCUAGAGUCUUGUAGAGGGGGGUAGAAUUCCAGGUGUAGCGGUGAAAUGCGUAGAGAUCUGGAGGAAUACCGGUGGCGAAGGCGGCCCCCUGGACAAAGACUGACGCUCAGGUGCGAAAGCGUGGGGAGCAAACAGGAUUAGAUACCCUGGUAGUCCACGCCGUAAACGAUGUCGACUUGGAGGUUGUGCCCUUGAGGCGUGGCUUCCGGAGCUAACGCGUUAAGUCGACCGCCUGGGGAGUACGGCCGCAAGGUUAAAACUCAAAUGAAUUGACGGGGGCCCGCACAAGCGGUGGAGCAUGUGGUUUAAUUCGAUGCAACGCGAAGAACCUUACCUACUCUUGACAUCCAGAGAACUUUCCAGAGAUGGAUUGGUGCCUUCGGGAACUCUGAGACAGGUGCUGCAUGGCUGUCGUCAGCUCGUGUUGUGAAAUGUUGGGUUAAGUCCCGCAACGAGCGCAACCCUUAUCCUUUGUUGCCAGCGGUUA
rnacentral:rRNA from 1 species